rnacentral:rRNA from 1 species
UACGUAGGGGGCAAGCGUUGUUCGGAAUUACUGGGCGUAAAGGGCUCGUAGGCGGCCAACUAAGUCAGACGUGAAAUCCCUCGGCUUAACCGGGGAACUGCGUCUGAUACUGGAUGGCUUGAGUUUGGGAGAGGGAUGCGGAAUUCCAGGUGUAGCGGUGAAAUGCGUAGAUAUCAGGAGGAACACCGGUGGCGAAGGCGGGUCUCUGGGCCGAUACUGACGCUGAGGAGCGAAAGCGUGGGGAGCGAACAGG